rnacentral:tRNA from 1 species
GGAGAGGUGGCCGAGUGGUCGAAGGCGCACGGCUGGAAUCCGUGUAUACGGUUCACACCGUAUCGUGGGUUCGAAUCCCACCCUCUCCG